AGAUUGAACGCUGGCGGCAGGCCUAACACAUGCAAGUCGAGCGGUAGAGAGGUGCUUGCACCUCUUGAGCGCGGCGGACGGGUGAGUAAUGCCUAGGAAUCUGCCUAGUGGUGGGGGAUAACGUUCGGAAACGGACGCUAAUACCGCAUACGUCCUACGGGAGAAAGCGGGGGACCUUCGGGCCUCGCGCCAUUAGAUGAGCCUAGGUCGGAUUAGCUAGUUGGUGAGGUAAUGGCUCACCAAGGCGACGAUCCGUAACUGGUCUGAGAGGAUGAUCAGUCACACUGGAACUGAGACACGGUCCAGACUCCUACGGGAGGCAGCAGUGGGAAUAUUGGACAAUGGGCGAAAGCCUGAUCCAGCCAUGCCGCGUGUGUGAAGAAGGUCUCGGAUUGUAAAGCACUUUAAGUGGAGGAAGGUUGUAACUUAAUACGUUGCAACUUUGACGUUACCGACAGAAUAAGCACCGGCUAACUUCGUGCCAGCAGCCG
rnacentral:rRNA from 1 species